rnacentral:rRNA from 1 species
AUUGAACGCUGGCGGCAUGCUUUACACAUGCAAGUCGAACGGUAACAGGGAGCUUGCUCCGCUGACGAGUGGCGAACGGGUGAGUAAUGCGUCGGAACGUGCCGAGUAGUGGGGGAUAACGCAGCGAAAGUUGUGCUAAUACCGCAUACGUACUGAGGUAGAAAGUGGGGGACCUUCGGGCCUCACGCUAUUCGAGCGGCCGACGUCUGAUUAGCUAGUAGGUGAGGUAAAGGCUCACCUAGGCGACGAUCAGUAGCGGGUCUGAGAGGAUGAUCCGCCACACUGGGACGGAGACACGGCCCAGACUCCUACGGGAGGCAGCAGUGGGGAAUUUUGGACAAUGGGCGAAAGCCUGAUCCAGCCAUGCCGCGUGUCUGAAGAAGGCCUUCGGGUUGUAAAGGACUUUUGUCGGGGAGGAAAUCCCCAGCGCUAAUACCGCUGGGGGAUGACAGUACCUGAAGAAUAAGCACCGGCUAACUACGUGCCAGCAGCCGCAGUAA